rnacentral:lncRNA from 1 species
AAUUUACAUUUAACAUUUAAGUGAUGGUUGUUGAUAUUUUCUAUAAAGGUUUUUAAAUCUUCUGUAUAUCAAUUGUACAUACAACCAACUAAUAAAAUUAUCAUACGGGUUUUUUUUUUUUUUUUUUUGUACAUGAAAUUUGUACAAACCACUUGUUAGAAAAAUAUUUAUUAAUCGAGGUUUUAAUAUUAAUAGCGGUAGUAUAUUGUUACUAAUUAUCGUUGUAUUAUUACAACAGCAUCAGUGCCGAUUCGACAUUUCAAACAAUUGCUUAGUUAGUAAUCCAAAUUUCACAUUCUUGAAAAAUUGCAAUGAACCUUCCAAAUUGUAAUUGAUUGAUCGAUCAAGAUAUAAAAAUUACAAUUGAUGUAAUCUUGUGAUAUGCAUUGAUCCCUCCUCCACUAACAAUCCAAUUAAUUAAUAUUUGGUUUCUUCUGGUCGAUCGACCAUAUAUUUUAUAUACAAGACAUUGUUGCACUAGUGUUUUUUUUUUUUUUUGUGCAUGUAUAAAUGUCAUGUUAGGAUUGUCAUAGUCAUACAACUGAUGAUUUGCUCCUAGGGACUAAAUUUUGAGGUCCAUUAUUGGUGGCACUGCAAAAUGUUUCCUCCAUUGAUUUGGUAAUUAAAUUGUCCACUCUAGCACAAUAUCAUGCGCAUCCAUGUAGCUGGUACUGCAAAAUGUUUCCUCCAUUGAUUUGGUCUUCUGUUAAUAGUUGAUUCGCUGUAUUGUCACCAUUAACUUCAAGCUCAAGUCUGUUUAUUUCACUAUUUACAUUAUACAUAGGUCAAACCACAUUAACAAUUGAUAUGAUUACCAUGCCAGUGCAUAUCAGUAAAUUAGUCACGUGUUACAAGUUUAGCAUUUGAUGUUACUACAAUUACAUGCUAUUCUAGGUAUUAUUCCUAGCAUUGUACCUAAAUCCACAUUGGCAUCUUUGUUCAUGAUAGAUAUGAUUUCAUUUGAAUAGGGGAUCGCUUUUUAAUAUGUCAAAGUAAACACUUAGUCCAAUCUAAUAUCAAAACAUCCUAUCCAUCCACAUAGAAAAUCCAUUUGUAUGUUUUAUAUAUAUAUGUAUAUAUAGAGGUACCCACAUAUCUAGAAACCAAACAACAUGAAUAUAUGAUUUGACUGGUUAGCUUUUGGAGUGGGUGCUUAAAGUAGAGAAGAAGAAACUAUUACAAAAACUUUUUACUCACAAAGUGCCGCCCACCAUUGAAUGAGAAAAAAGAAAAGAAAGCAUAAUGAUUUUACCCAAGAUGGGGGGAAGUUGAAGUUGGGUUUGCAACCACAAUGGCUUAAGAUCCCAUUGAAAUGGCAUUGUGCUAGUGGGAAAAGCUGAUGUUUACACUUGCACACCAAUCUAUCAAAACCUAAAAAGAAAGAAUAGUUGUAAACACUUCUUUGCUUUUUACUCUUUUUGUGUUUCUUUAUUUACUCUUUUCAAUGUUCCAUUGAUAGUGGAUUCAAAAAAUGCAAUAACUCAUGUCUUUAUCUUUAGCCUUACUCCACCACCCAAAUCCAUUCUUGUAAAGAUGACUCAUGGCAGGUCAUUGAAAUUCCCACACACCCAUAAAGGAAAAAAAGGAAAAAAAAAAUUCAAAAAUUCAUUGUGUAAGAUAUGAUUUCUAGGUGAAUGGUUGGUUGUUUUAUACCCUCUUUUCUUUAGGGAGAUUGUGGAUUCUUUUGUUGACCCACCAUACCUUUUAUAAAAAGAAAAUUAUAUUACCCAUUACCUUCUUCACAUAGGCUAUUGAAAAUAAAAAUGUGCCUAGUAGGAGAAGGGAGAAGCAUCUCCAUCACUAUAACCCAAUUUCUAAGUCAAAUUAGGUUAAUGGGAACCCAAAAUUUUGCUUCUUCAAAAUUAAAAUCAAUUAAUUAUUUAAUAACACUUUGAUGCCAUCAAACCCCCUUUUUUUUCCAGGUAAGGUAGAAUCUUCCAUUGAAUUGAAAAUAUGAGUUGUAAAUUUAUUCCAAUCCAAGUUCUAUGAAUUUUGAGAGGGUUUGUAAUUUAAAGUAGUGACUGACAUACUAAAUUUGAAAUGGUACAUUGGGGCCAACUCAAUUCUAAUUUGACCUAUAUAUAUAUAUAUAUAUAUAUCUUGGAUCUUAUAAAAUUUUCUCAAGUGAGGUGAUGGCUUUUUAUGAUGUUGGUAUGUGGGGUCCGAAACUAAAGAGUAAAUAAUGAAAUCUACUGGGAAACAAACAAAGAAAAGAGAAAGCAGCAAAAUCAAUUCUAAGAUGAUGAUGGACUGAAAACAAUGAGUGCCCCCUUUCACAAGAGAAGAAAGCUAGGGUUCCCAUCAUGGCCCCCAUGCCUUGUUUGAUUGGAUCUAUAUUCUAUUCUUUGCUUUAUUUAUGUAUAUUAUUUUAUUUCAAGCAGCCCCACUUCUUCAACUGAAAUAUUAUGGGAAUAUUUAUAUGGUCAAUAUCAACAAACAAUAAAGUCUAUGGACAACUUAUUUGACACAUUUCUAUCUCUUUACUUUACAUCUUGAAUCUAUGAAAAAAAAAAAGAUUUAAAGCUAAAACAUGGUCCUCAUUAGGCUUUUCCCAUCAAUAUUGCAACUUGGGUUCAAUCGGUCAAGUGUCAUUUUCUUCGUUGUUGGCAUUUUGUUGGCUAGGUCCGUAAUGUAUACGUGACGAUGAAUUCGAGUUUUGAAUUUAAUUAAAAUAUAUAUGGUGGAAUAUGUAAUUGGGGUGCAUUGAAAGAAUAGUAAUAAGGGAAUAAGAAAUAUUGUUGAGGGAAAAGAUUGUGACCCGCAUGAAGUAGAUGUGUGAUUCUAUUGAAGAAAGGGACCGAAUCAAUGAAUUGGAUUAAUUUAUUGAUAUGUCUUUUACUUGUGAGGGAGUCAUGGGGGGUGUGUGGGAUUUAAUUGCCUUUUUCUUUGGUAUUAAUAAUUUUUUUUUUUUUUAAAAAAAAGGGUGUUUUAUUGUUGAUCAUUUAGGUAAAGGGGAUUAUUGACAAUUUUUAUUAAUUAAGUUGGAGAUGGAGAUUCCAAUGCGCAAUGCACACCACUCAACUAAAACACUCAUGAUAUCAUAUGUGCCAUUUGACAACUAAUCACUAAUUAAUUCUCAUUUGACAAUCCCAAUAAUCUCCUAAGAUAUCAUAUUUUAAACAAAUUUUUUUUUAAAGAAAAAAUGUUGAAAUCAAACUUAGUUAAAUAAUUAUCCAAUUUUAUAUCAUCCCAGUUUGAAUAAACCUAAAGACGUGUAGUGCGGGACCCAUAAUCACAAGUGUAAACUACUUCAUUGAUUAUUGCUUUUAAGGAUGUAAUCCACAACCACCUCUUGCAUUUUUAUUUAAAUAAAUUUGAAAGCAUUGUUCACUUUUUUUUCCUUUGUUAAAAAAAAUGUGUAGUACUUGAGAUAAGAUUGAACUAAAUUUCAAAUACAUACAAACAUAAACACCCAUAUUUAAUUAUUUAUUUAUUUUUAUAUAUUAGUUAAAACAAAUGCUUUGUUAUAGUUGGGGUCAAGACUCAAACCAUACAAUGACACAUGAAGAGAAUUAAAUUCUUGAAACGGUGUGCUAUAACUUAUAAUAUUUUGAUCAUCAAACCAGAGAUGAAUCCAAUAAGUUGUUUGAGAUUAUUUCAACUCCAAUAACAAAUUGUUUGACGUGUGAAUUACCAAGACGGAGGAAUAUUACCAAAAGAAAAUUAUAAAAUUGCAAUUUCAAGUCAAGCUAAUUAGCUGUUUGUUGACGCAAUUUGUUUCAAUUGUUUUAUUUUAUUUUAUUUUUUUGUUCUUUUUAGUGUUUGAUUGAGCGUAAAUUAAGCUAAUUGGUGAACCACCCAAUUGCGAAAAUUUAAUUAAUUUUUUGAAGAAAUAAUUAUUUCGUUUGAUGGACUUUGAGAGCACUUCUCAAUCAACAAUUUAAUGCAAAGAUUAGUUGUUUUAGCCACCCUUUGCUAAAGUUAAAAAAGAAAUUAAUGGGCGUGCAUCAAGCAUGGAAAUUGAUUGUGACCUACUGUUUGCUUUUGAAAAUAACCUAAUAUUUAAUCGUUGUACUGCAAUUAAAUUGCACCAAAUUGGCAAAUGCUGUUGUGUGCAAGAUUCUUUUCAAACAACCCAAAAAAAAUGCGUACACAAAAGGCCAAAAAAAAAAAAAAAAAAAUUCAUUUGAUUAGACUUGUCAAAUCAAACGAUUUGUCAAUUUCUUAAUCGAAAGUAAAAGAUAAAUUGAUAAUUGAUUCAUGCCUUCAUGAAUUGAUUUGAUUGGCCAAACAUUAUUGCGUGUGAGUCGCAUGAUUUACAUGUGAACCGCAUAUGAAAUAAAGUCUAAACUAGCAACUACAUAGAAUAAGUUAAAGCAAGCAACCACAUCAAUUAAGGAAAAUAAGAAAAAUAAAAACAAACAAAUUUAUGUAACGAGUGAUGAUGAUAAGAGUGAGAUAAAGUAGAUUCACAAUUUGAUAUUCAAUAAUGGAGCAUAAAUGCUAUUGAGGCCAGUUUAAGGGAGCGACUUCUUUAAAAAGGCUUACAUAAAUUUCAUUUAAAAACAAAAACAUAAACUUAACCACUUUAUGAUGCAGGCAGGAUUCACAAGAUCUUUGCGAGUAGAUCAAGAUUUUUGUCAUGAUUUGUGUUUUCAAUCUAAUCACUUAGUAAUUGGUGGUUAACAAAUAAAAAUAUAACAUUAAUUAAAUUCUGACAAUACUUCUCGCCGAAAGGUACAUAACAUAUGAUACUAUGAUUUCGUGGGUCGAUUUGUUAUCCAAAUUUUUAGAAGUUCGACUAUUAAAUAUGAGUUUACGUGUCGAAAUUUGAAAGUUCUAAUUAUUGGAUAUGAGUCUGUUUACUAUCCAAACUUAGAAAUUUGAAUUCUAUUCUCAAAAUUUUUAUUGCCUAUCUAUAAAUUUAUUAACAACAGCUUCUUUUUUUAAGAUAAACAUUAAAUUCUUUUGAAUGAUCAAAACAUUUUAUUUGGUAUUUACGGAAAAAUCGUUGUACCAUAAGUUUAAAGUUUUUUUCCCCAAAAUUAUCUUAUAUAAUAAUGAUUAUACAAAUUCCAAUUACCUAUUAUUUUGUUUUGGUUUUUAAAGAAAAUUCCAAAAGUCUAGAAAAUUGAGAAAAAGGCAAAUUAAGGGCUAAAAAUCUAACUUGACGUCUCAAUGGAUGCGGUCCAAAAUAGUACAUGCACUGGUGGGCAUUAUGAUGUUCCAAUGCAAUCAAUUUUUUAAAACACAAAAAAUAAAGAUCAAUUAUUUAAAAAAAAAAGGAAUUUUCUUUAAAAAAUAUUUAUUCAAGGCGCAAUGUUCUCCAACUUUUGAUUAGAUUCCUAGGCAAGAUCGGCUCCUAAUUUUAAAUAUUAUUUAUAGAAAGUAUAAGUCCAUUCACUUGCCCCCCAUCAUACGUUUAAUUAAAUAAUUCAAUAUGCAUGAUUAUCAUAAACUUUGUCAAAUUAUUUUAUUCUAAAAAUAGAAAUAAAUUUAAAUAAUGAUUCUUAAUGAAUUUGGGGAAUCAGAUUCACGUGUCAUGGAGUGCAUGCCGGUCAUAAAGGAACAGAUGGUCCAUGAUCUAAUGUGGGCCCCAUAAACUGCCUAAAAAUCCUAUGAACAAAAUCUCAUAUUUUCUAUUCGGUUUAUUUAUUUAUUUAUUUAUUUAUUUUGGGGUUUUGUCUUCUUUAAAUUGUUAACUUUGGCAUUUGUUUUUGUGGGUGCCACUUCAAGUGAUUCUCUGGCUUGUCUUCUAAUUUUUAUUUUUAUUUUUAUUUUAAUUUUGGUAUAUUUUCCAAUCAACCAAUUGAUUUAUAAAACUGGCACUUUGCUUUGCUCUGCACAAAUUUAAAGUUGCAGACAAUUUGGGUACCUUCUGAAAGAGGAUAAGACAAGCAAGUAAUAAUUUUAUGGCUGAUUACAAAGUCAUCUAAAGACAAGAUGUUCUGGAAUUUAUCUUGAUUCCACAGUAAUUUGAUUUUAAAAUUUGGAUCUUUCUCUUCAUCUAAAUUGCGAAAAUUGAUUAUACAACUAAAAUUUAAUUUUCUUCCAUUUUUCAAUUACCCAUUGUUAAUUUAGAACAUUUUCAUUGUUAGAAAAAGUAUAGCAACUAUUACAUGUGUUUUUGCAAUUGAAUAUAGGCACUUAAUCUCCGUGUUCUAAAAUGUUAAAUGAUGAUUACGACUAUAAAUGAGCACAGUUAAAUGAUCAGAUUUUAUUAGUUUUUAUUUUUAUCAUUUGACCUACCAAUACAUAGUUGAACUCGAUAAAAAAAAAUAUAACGAAAUCUUCAUCAUACGGCAAGUUGCAGCCAUUAGAAAGAUAACACCUAUCUACAAUUUUCUUUUUUCCUAUAUAUAUGCGAACAUGCUAACAGAACAUAUAAUAAUGUUGUCCAUUGUCAUUUCAUAUACAGUGAUUCGUGACCCAUUCCGAAUUGCCUAACAAUAGUUGUUGAAAUUCCCUAAUUCUAAAUACACAUUACUUCUUUCCAAAAAAAAAAAAAAAAAAAAACACAUUACUUAAGAUCCACUUUAGGAUUACUUUUAAAAGGUUAAAAAGUGAUUUUUUUUAAAAAAUAAAAGUUAUUUUUAAUGUUUGGUAAAGUUUUUAGGAAUUAUUUUUUAGUAAAAUUAUCUUAUCUUAUAGUAGAUUUUAGAAAAUAGGGAAUGAGUAGCUUUUUAAAAUCUGCUUUUAAGAAUCAAUUUUAUGUUUAAUAUAAUCUCAUAUAUAUUAUAAAAAUCUAAAUUACCCUUAUUAAUUAAUAGAUAAAAUCAUUAACUUAGAAGAAAUUAAUAUUAUUACCAAUUAUAUUGUGAUAACAAAAUGAAAAAUAAAAUUUUUAAUAUAAAUAUUUAUUUUAGUUAUAAACUGUUAUAUAUAUACAAUAAAAUGGUCCUUUUUUUUACAGCUGAUUAAUUAUUUUAGAACUUAUAGCACUUACAAAUAAAUUUUAUUAAAUAUUUGAUAAAUUUUUUUUACAGCUGAUUAAUUAUACAACAUAAUUAAUAAUAAUUAUUUUAAAAAUUAUAUCAUUACUAAAACGGUCCUUAGUCACUUUACGAAGUGGAGACUUAUUGGAUUAUAUUUUUUUCGUAUUAUAUUAUCUGUACAUUUAUUCAAUAAAAAUGUCUUAGGCAUUUUUUCCUUUUUUAAAUUGAAAAUAGAAUAUACAUUAUAAAACACAGUAAGUUUUUCUUAAGUGACUCUCAUCUCCCAGCCCACGCCAAAAAAAUUAAUAAUAAAAAAUAAAUAAAAAAUAAAAAACCGAAUCUACCCAGUACGUUGGAUUUGGAGGGUUGCAGUAAAAUAAAUAAAUAAAUGGUCAAAUAUAUUUACAAUGUCAGAAGAUAAUGAUAACUGACAGGAUUUAUAAUUGUGAGAAAAGCGAAAGCAGGACAAUGCUACCCUACCAACUGAGUCUCUGUCUCACUCUCACCUCUGUCUAGUAACACCGCCACCACCGGCAGCCCGUUUUCAGUGGGUUAUAAAAAAGCACAAACGCUCACCGCCACCCAACUUCAUCAUUUUUGUUUUUUUCUAGUGUCCUUUAUCACAAUUACUUUUUAACCACAAUUAUUUCAUCAGAUGUAAAAAAACAUUAUUUCGUCAUCUGGAGAUGCCAUUGUUUGUUUGUUUGUUUGUUAAUAAUAAUAAAAACAAAACAAAUAGGUGUCAUGAUGUAUGCAAAAAAUAUGAGCGGUCCCUAUCGACAUUGCCAAAAGAAAGAUCGUGUGAAAGACGCGCCUCGCGAAUCGCAACACAACCCUGCGUGCUAACCUCAUGAUGUUUCUCAACUGAGACCAAAUAAAAAAAAAAAAAAAAAGGAAAAGAAUUAAUUCUGUAAAUAAUUAAAAAUAAAACUAAAAAGUAAAAUUGAUAACGUCGACGUUUUAAAUACGCCAAGAAUGCGCAUUAUACGGGUUCGUGGCAGGGUAGACUUUUUCCUACUUUUGGCUUUACCUCUACCUCUGUUUCAACUACCCGUUCUCGUAUUUAAUGCGCGCGCGCGCACACACAUAUAUAUAUAUAUAUAUAUGACGUCAUUAUUAUGACUUGAAUGGUUAAUUUAAUUGAGAAACUAAAUUAGUUAAUAGUAUCAUCUUAAAUAAAUUAUGCUGAAAUUGAAUUUCAAAGAGUUUUUCGUAUUAAAUAUAAUGAAUCCAUUGUAAUGUUUAAUAAUUUUUUAAUAUAAACAAAUAAAUAUCCCUGAAUCCAAGACAUGAGAGAGGGGGUCAGGUCAGUAGGGGUGGCACUACUGCUGCAACUCCUGCAGAACAACAGCGACAUUUGCGCGCGUCCUACGUGUCAGCUUUUGCCUCACACCUGUCGCUUUCUUUCCCCCCCUAGUCGUUGACUACACGCUGUUCAACACCACGCGCGUGACAUCACGCCUUUCCCUGGCAGCCAUCCACCCAAGCCUCCCACGUCCGCAUCCCCCUUUCCUAACGUAACUCCCAAACAAAAGUUCCGCUAACUCACACUUCAAAUUUACUAAAAUACGCCACAUUUAUCCAAUCAUAAUUAUUAUAUUAUGGGUGCAAAUGCAAAUCUUUUUAUUUAUUUAUUUAUUUUUUUAUUUUUUGGUCUAUUGAUUGAAUGAUUUCUCCACAAUAAUUAAUUAAAAGACUAAAUACAAAAGAAUGAAGAAAACAAACAUAUUUUUUUCUUUGAUUUUUUUUGUUGUUGGGUAUUUGGAUUUUUUGUCUAGGACAUGUUUACAUGAACGCUAACAGUCUUGGGGGAUUUACAAACGGGGCAAGUGUGCAGACUUGACCCGCAAACAGUACACAAACACAAAUGCCUGCAAGGUAACAGCAGUACACAUGACUCUUCCUUUCUGCAAUUUCUGCACAACCUGCUGCCACCGCUGUGACUGCUUCCAUUAUCACCAUCUUUAUGAUCACAAUUAUUAAUUUUCUUAUUACCAUUAUCUUCCCAACUGCUGCCGCAACAAGACUCUGCAUCAUCAACGACUUCUUCCUCCAACCCCAGCGCAGCCGGCGCCGGCGCACGUCCUUCCUUGACCUGCGCGGCGGCUGAGGCGAGAACUUGUUCUAGAUUCGUACGUAGAGCAUUGGCGGUGGCCUCGUUCGACUGAGCCAAGUCUCGCCAAAUUUGAUUCUCUAUGCACAAGGACUUCACUCGUUCUUCCAAAGCCCAAUUCAAUUUCCCAAUCUUUUCAAUUUCGUCCUCUUUGGCCUUCAGCUUCUUCAUCACGCCUUCCUCUAUUACGUCCAUUAUUAUCCUCACUUGCCUCUUCUUCCUCUCUUCAACCUCCAUCCUCACUUUCUCCAUCUAUAAAAAGAAUUAUAAUAAUAAUAUGAACCCAAUAUUAAUAACCGUACAAAAUAAUCAAGAAACGUGAAAAAAUGGAAACUUGCUUGUGUUUUGAUUACUUACAUGUUGGGAUAUGAGGCGAUCGAUGUCGAACUGUUGUUCUUGGAUCUGAAACGACAUGUCGUUUCCGAGAAAGGAGAAGGGAGUGGGGGUACUGCAAGAUUCUCUCGACCGUUUUCUCGACGGGGUCAGUGGGAGAUUGUUAUUUUCGUAGUUGUUGUAAGUGAGACUGCUGUCGGAUUUGUUGAUGAGCGGUUUUUGAUGAGGGAAUGAAUCUGAGUUGAUGGACGAUCCGUAAACGACGGUGGGAAGAAAAGCCUCCGCCGUCGUGGCGGUUCCCGAUAAUGGGAGGCGGCCGUAUCCUCCUGUUCCUCCCAUCUGGGUAUUGUAGAUAUUCGAGUUUGCUUCAAUGGGGUUCAUUAUUAUUUCCCUGCAAAAAUGGAAAGAGAAGUACGUAAAAUGCACACUCGGACACAAAACAAAUAAAAAAAUUCUAUAAGACACAGAACGAGAUGAUACACACCUGUUAGCUAAGAGUUGCGGAGGAAAGAUACUGUAUUGAUGCCGGGCUUCAACAGCCAUGAUUAUGGAAACGAAAGGGUUUAUUUCUUUUGGAUUGGUUUUGCUUCUUGCUUUGUUUCUUCUGGUUCUUGGCUUUGGUUUUGGUUUUGAAGGAGAGAACGAGAGAGAGAAAAUGAACAAAAUGGCAUGCAAUAGAGGUGACAAAGAUGUGAUGAUGGGUUUAUUUAGGGUUUGGUUUUGGCUUAAAGUGAGAAAUUAUUAAAAUAAUGAUAAUUUUUUAUUUUUUCAAAAAGGGAAAAUGUGAGAGAUUUUUUUUUUUUUUUGAGAAUGUGAGAGAUUUGGAUUGUUCUUGUUGGGUUUAAGUUGAUUGGUCUAUUUAAAGGAAUUUGGUUAAGUGCUUAAUUCAAGCGGAAUAAUAGGGGUAUUUCCGGGAUUUCAGUGCAUGUUUAUUAUUGUAAACUAUUGAGUUUUUUAAUUAGGGAUAAAAUAAGUUAUAACUGACAAGCAUGGCAUCUGCCACGUGUAACACCUGCCACGCAAGCAAACCUGUUUGUUUCCUUCUCAUUUUUUUGGCCCCUUUUUUCUGCUGGUCCUCAACAGCGUGAUGGUGUGGGGUCCACGACAAACACGUAUGGGACAGGGUAAAAGAUGAGGCCAAGAUAAAAAAGAAGGGGGCGAUGAAAACCGAUCCCUGUGACCACGUGCGAUGUGCCAUCGUGGCGUGGGUGGGCCCAUCUGAUAGAUUUCCAAUUUUUUUUAAUAAUUAAACAAUUAAUAAAAAAGAAGUAAGCGGCGGUUGGGGAAGGUACGGUGUACCAGGGGAUGGUCCUUUGGCAGUUUCCUCUUUUUUACUUUAUUUGAUUUGAAGUUGCUCCCUCGCAUGGGAAACGUUGGCUCUCUUUUGUCUCUUUCUGCUGCCACGUGGCUUCAUACCUCCCUUCUUAGUAUCGCAUUACAUCUCAAUAAUUUUCAACCGCUUGAUCCCACAUUCACAUUUUGAUGCGCAUAGCCAUAAAUGGACCCACCGAAGAUAUUGCGUUAACAUAAAGCUCAGCUUGGGUCCGACCAUGAAUACGUCUUGUGCACGUAGUUACUUUUGUUCGAGUAUUAAUAUAAGCAAUGGUUGGUGCUAAUAAUUAAAAUUUCUCAUUUUAUCAUAAAUUUGGAAAAAAAAAAGACGAUCAUAUUAUUAUUCGACUUCCAAUGAAUUAACAACUCAGACAAUAAAUUUACGGGUAAUUUGUAAUCUACUCCUAAAUAAAUUGAUAUUUUACAUAGGGUUCCCAAUAAAUUUGACUUGUUGCACUGCACACCCAAAAAAAUUGACAUUUUGCACCAUAUCCCCAAUUCCGUUAUUUUCUCAGUUAAGUUUAACGGUGGAGGGGUAAAAUUGGAAGUUUAUUCCUUAAAUUAAUUUUAAUGGGAAUUCUCUUUAUUGCAAUUAAAAUAAAAAUCUUUAAAAAUUAAAAGAAAAAUAAUAGUGGUGACAAUGUACAUGUAACAAGAAAUUUUUUUAUUACAAUUAAAAUAAAAAUCUUAAAAAAAUUAAAGGAAAAUAAUAGUGGUGACAAAUGUACAUGUAACAAUAAUUUUUUUUAUUAAAAUUGAAAUAAAAAUCUUUAAAAAAUUAAAGAAAAAAUAAUAGUGGUGACAAUGUACAUGUAACAAGAAUUUUUUUAUUGCAAUUGAAAUAAAAAUCUUUAAAAAAAUUAAAAGAAAAUAAUAGUGGUGACAAAUGUACAUGUAACAAGAAUUUUUUUUAUUAAAAUUGAAAAAAAAAUCUUUAAAAAAUUAAAGGAAAAAUAAUAGUGGUGACAAUGAACAUGUAAGAAGAAUUGUUUUUUUAUUGCAAUUGAAAAAAAACCUUAAAAAAUUAAAUGAGCUAAAAAUUUUGUUUUUUUACAUAGAGGGGCAUUUUUGUCAUUCAAUCAAAAGUUAGACGGAGCAGUUAGAAAUAAUUGAAAAAUUAACGGAAUUGGGGGCGUAAUGCAAAAUGUCAAUUUUUUUGGGUGCGUGGUGCAACAAGUUAAAUUUGUUGAGGACGCGGUGCAAAAUGUCAAUUUAUUUGGGGGUAGGUUACAAAUUUCCCUAAAUUUACUAUAGUUAAAAUUUAUACAUAAUGAAUUAUAUUUAUAAUUCGUGACCUACUUAUUGAAUCGUAUCAUAUCAUAUCAUAUACUAAGGAUAUUAUGUUUUGGCAUAUGUAGUAAAAUAUUGGGUUGCGAAGAUAAAUAUUCAAGAUACCCGUUAUUGAUGCUUAUUCAUCAUACAAACAAAGAAACAUCUCAAAACUGGGGCAAUUUUUUUUUUUUUACCAAUUAUCGUUUUGAUGGCCUCCGGUAUUGACCGUCCAGCUAAAAAGAAAGCAUUCUUGUGUUUCAAUCUUUACUUGCUACAAAACAAAUUCUAUGAAAUUAUUGAUCAUUGACCACCCACAUACAUAAGUAUUAGUUAAUGCCACCAACAAUUCUUUUUCUCUUCCUUGUCGUCUGUAUUUCCCAAUUGGCUGUUGGUCAUAAUACAGCAAAAAAUUUAUGCUCCCAGUUUCUACUCUCAUGCAUGACAUAAUUGAUUACACUACUUGCAUAAGUUGCGUUCUAGAAACUCUCGAAAGUUACUAUUUGAGUUAAUUUUUAUUAUUUUUCUUUAAUUAUUCUAUUAAUAUGUGUUUUAAUUGAUUGCUUUUUAUUUUUUGAAUAUAUUUUUAAAUUAGUUACAAUAAACAGAUAUCACAAUUUAAAAUUUGUUAAAAAUCUAGAUAAACAUACAUUCUAGAUGGUCUACCAAGAUUGGCUUGAAAUUAUUUAUACUCAUACCAAAAUUUGGGGAGAAAAUACCCAAAACUUAGUGGGGACUGCUUUUGAAUUUUGAUACAAAGAUUAAAAAUGCUUUUCUAAAUUUCAAUUAAUUUGCUGACUUCUCCAUAUUAUUUUUUGGCUCAAUGUCGACAUUCAAGGCCUUAAUUAUAGCUAGCGGCUCAAUCUCCCAAUUCACACAAUAUCUUUUGACCUAAUCCCAAUCUGACAAUCCAAUCAAUCGCAACUAAUUACUGUAUAUUCCUUCAAAUUCAACAAGUCAUUCAUUAACUGUCAUUAAUGAAAACUUAUCCUCAAAGUCCUUGGCCCUUUUUUUUUUUUUUUUGGUGAUAAAUGAUAUAACUUUAUUAAAAAAAAUCAAAAUAAGAUGAUUAUUUAAAAAGAAAAAAGGAUACAUAGAAGCAGCUAGAAAAAAAAAACUCCGACAUAAACAAACAAUACUUGAGCGCACAAAUAAAUAUUUCUUAAUAUUAUUGGUUAGAUUCACUUAGUGAAAUUCGCACAUUUUUAAUCCAAAUUAACUAGAUUAUCCAUAAUUUGAACUCCCUUAUCUAUAAGUGUGAGAUUACAUACAACGUUUGCAUGAAAUAUUAUUACGAAAACAUUUAUUUGUAGGAGAUUUUCGACCCCAAUAAUGUUGAUCUCUCUUCAAAACAUCGGAGGCGAUUAGUAAUUUAUUAUCAAUAUUUUUUUUUCCUACUUUUUAAUCGAGCCCGCACCACAUUCUAAUUUACUAAGGAACAAGACAUGGCCAUGCGCUACUUUCAUGGAAACAUGUGCAACUAAGUUUCACUUUAAAAUAGUGAUGCUCGAGAGACAAUGUCAUGUUCAUUUUCCAAAUUUUAAUCACAACCCAUUCAAUCAGAUAAUUAAAUAAUUAUGUUUUCGAUGCCAUCUCCUCUUCAAUAAAACUCACCCAAUUUUUUAGGCGAUUUCAUCUGCCAAUACUAGCGGAAUAUUAGACAUUUGAGCUGCAUUUAAGGAGGCAAGGUGACAAAGAGAUCAGUCCAAUUUGAUUAGAAUACAAAGCAACUUCAAUUGACAAUUACAGCUACCAAUUAAGUUAUUUUUAAAUAUUCUUCAUCUCGCAGCAUUAGAUUGCGUUUUUACUAACAAAUUGGUGCAAAAUAUUGCUUAAAAUAAAACUUUUUAACUCUUAAAAUCAUGCAUCCACAUGGCCAAGACUCAAGAGCCAAGUUUACAAAAUUUAUCAAUGAAAUAUAAAUUUAUACAAGAUUGUGCGGCCGGCCGUACGAGCACAAGGUGGCAACCGGCAAGGGCAAUGAAAUGACACCGUUGCUUGUCUUCUCUCAUUCUCCAUUUCUCAAUUCUCCCGAAUCAAAUAGAAAAUUUUCAAUAAAGCCACAACUUCACAAAUAAUGCAAUAAAAGGGUAAACGUUAUAAAGGGUUUCCCAUUCCCAUCUUAUCCAUCUUUAAAUAUUUCUUCACCAAUCCUCUUUGUGAGUCUUUCUAACUAAGAUAGCAUUUGGCUUUUUAGUCUCAAAUACGAGUAAGUAUAAAUUAAUCUGAAUUCUAAAUAAUAACUUAACUGAUUAAAAUUAAAUUAAUUAAACUAUUUGGUUAGAAAAAUUAAUGGUCCCUAAGAAAAUGAGAAAAAGUUGUAUAGAUUUUCACUAAGCCUAAAUAAAUAAAUAUACAAUUAAUUGAGUUAUUAUUUUUUUUAAAAGUUUAAACUGUACAAUUCAUUAGAGUGCUAUUGAUAAGUGAUUUAGAAGUCUGUCAAGACUUAUCUUGAUUUAUCAUAAUUGAAUUUGAAGGUAAGUUAAAAAAAAAUUAUGUGCUAUCGUAUCAAGUCCAAUGAGACUUAUCUCAAUGUAUCAUAAUUGAAACUCAAUUAAAAAAAAAAACUCGAUGUAUUAUAAUUGAAACUCAAUAAGAAAAAAAAUCUACUCUCUCAUAGAAGCUAGAGAAAUUUUGUUCUUACAAUUUAGAGCUUAUAGCCUCAAUAAUGAGGUAAGAAUGCGCCAACUGUCAUUUAGAUUUUUUUUUAUCCUUUUAGCUAUAAUCGGUUUUAACUUUUAACCUAAACCAUGACAAUCAUUUUUCAGAUAUGCUUUUAUAGAGCACAUCAUACCGGAGCUAUAAAUUAUCAUUCUUUAAUGUAAGGUGAAGUUGCAUGACAACAUUAUCGUGAACCUUCAUAAUGAAACUAGAGAAAAAAUAGAGGUUAGAUGAAAAGUAGAUAAGAGAGGGGAUUCCCAAUUCACCUUUCGUCUUCACCUAUAUGUAUAUAUAUAUAUAUAUAUAUCUUUUUCAUUCAAGCUCUAUUAUUGCUCUCUCAUAUCCAACACACACUUUAGUUUAACCACCACCGAAAUCAACAAAAAAGGCAAAGUGAAACAAAAAGGUGCAUGAUAAACAAAAGAGAGAACAUUAUAGAUAUUUGAUUACUUUUUUUAGAGUAAAAAGAAAGAUACUGCUAAAUUGGACGGCUACGAUUGAUCGGAUCUAUGUUGUCAUGAUAACUCAAGACAGUACAACUAUUUCCAAAAGAAUAUAAUGUGUUUGUUCUUCCCCUACUUGAAGGGCAAUUGCAUUGCCCCCUUUUUCUUUUUUGUUUUUCAGUUAUUGCAAUGUUGACUUAAGGUGGAGUUGCCUUUUCUUUUUUCUUUUUAAUUUUAUUUUUUAAAACUUUCAUUCCCCCUAAAGUUGUAUUUUUGAUUCUACAUGCAUGAACAUGUGAGAUACCCACACCUGGCUCUUACUUAGUCAGAAGAAUCUGAAAGUAAAAAUCAACAAUUACAAUUUCUCUCUCACCCACUUUUUCUUUUUGGGAUCGAAUCUCAUUCAUCACCGCUACCUCCACAAACGUAUAAAACCCACUUUUGAAUUUGUCACCUUAGUCAGAAAUGUAUAAUUUUUGUAACCCUAAAUGUAAAAAUUGUAGUAAAUAUAGCAAAAUUUGAGUCUUAUUAUAAUGCGACAUUUUUUUUUUGUAUUUUGAUCACAAAAUUUUUUUAUCAUUGACAAUAUAUAUAUAUUUUUAAAUUAUAAGUUGUAAAUAUCUUAUAACAGACAAUAUUUUCACGACUUAUAAUAGAUGCCACAACAUAAUCAUGUCUAGAUAUUGAAUAUUGUAGCACCCAUCUCGAAGCAAAUCUUGGUGGAGAUAUGUUGCAAUGAAUGAACAAGGUUCCUCGCAAGAAAGCAACAAUGAAAGACCAAUUUUCUUUUUUAAAUUGUUAAUUUAAUUGAGGGGGGGCAUAAAGUUGGUUGUGAGUUGUGACAACUUACUGUAAAUGUAACGUUUGCUGCAACUAGGGACUGGGUCAGUUGAGCUAUCAUUAUUUCUUGUAUUGGAAACAUACCUUGCUUGUGCUGUGGAUUCUUUAAAUGUUUAAAGAAGAACUAAUAAUAAAUAAUAAAUAAUAAAUAAGAAAUAAGAAAUAAUAACAAUAAAAAUUUUAUACAAAAGAGGUUGGCUUUUAUUUAUUGUAUGCUUGCUUAUCUGCCAGAAAUUUGACCGUUAGCUGAGCUGACAAAGACUGCAUUGAUAUUUGAAAUCAUGGGUGUUGUGGGGUCAAUUAAGAAAAAAGUCUGGGGGGUACAUCAUACUUCAUACUUGUUCAUUUAAGAACACGAUUCUCUAUUUCUUUAUUCACUACUGUGGUUGUCUUGUGCAUUUAUGAUUUUAUAUCUAUUAUUCAAUUCAUUAUUAUUCACAGAAAUCUUUCAAAAGUAAAAAAAAAAAAAACAAUAUUAGAAAAAGAAUGUGACUUCACUUUCAAAGGUGCAUUUACGUGAAAAUUGCAACGGGUAUGGAAAUUUCAAGAAGAAAAAGAAGUAUAGCCGUGGCUGAGGCUGUGGCCGUGGCUGUGAGUUUGAUGAAUAAAUGACACAUUUUCCAACGAAGGCUUGAUUUGUCUGUCAGUCUUUUGAUUCUUGAUGUUUCCAUGUGCAAUGUGCAAGUCCACACUUGUCCCAUUUCUGCAUGUGUCGUUUCACUUUCACUUCCCAAAUGUGGUUUCUAGACAGGUCUCGGAGCUCUGCCCAAUCGCAUCAUUGAUUAAAAAACAGAAUAAGGUCCCCUCGCCCGCAUCGUUUAUUGUCAAAAUAACUUUGUUUGCCAUUAACAUAUUAUCUAUGGCAACUGCUACGUUAAGUUGAGUAUAACAUACACAUAUUUACAGUAACAAUAUUAAUGAUGAAACUUAUUAUUGUUACUAUGAGUGUAUAAAUGUUACACUCAACGUAACAUAAGAUGACCCAUUAUCUAUACAUAUUUACAAUUUAUGAUCUUACUGAGAAUAUGAGACUAUACGUAUCAAAUUAUGUAGUACAAAAUAUUUAGUCAGCAUAAUUUAAAAAUCUAUAGUUACUUACACAUUUUAAAAAUAUAUCAAUUUUUUCUAGUGAGGACAUCAAUUCACCACGAAAGUGGCCAAAUGCUUAGGAGGCGUUCAAAUUAGUUUUAUUACUUUUUACAUUCUUGAAUAUGAUCAUAGUUAUAAUAUAUUAUGAUAUGAUUCACUAUUACUGUAAAUAAUUUGUAUAGAUGACAAGAAUAAUACUAAUGAUGCACAUAAAAAAUUCCAAAUGUAAUCUUCCAUGUUAUAUAAUAUAUAUACUAAAUUAUAAGCUGUUUUCGAAAUUUUGACACCCAACAACGAAAAAAAAAAUCAUACACACCUCAAUUAAUAAAUUAAAAUCAAUUAUCUUAACAAUAGCUAGCGGUACCUCAUGUAAGUAAAGGUUCAAGUCCCCAUGUGCAUUUGAGAAUUUUUUUUUGUCUUUUUCCAACUAAAACCUACCGGUUCUGGGUAGAGGCGAGUGUUCGGUCCAAGUUAAACCAAACCGAAUAGAGCUUGAAAUUUUAUUUCGGUUCAAUUUGACCCUAGAAACCGAAUUGGUUGAAAAUUAGAAACUGAUCGGUUUUGGUCCGGUUCGGAUUAAAUCUGAAUCAAACAAUCAAACUCAAUCGUGGUUACAUUUAAAAAUUCGAAAAAAAAAAAAAACGAAUCCCCUCAAAUCUCAACCUUCAUUCCCUCAAUUGCAACUCAAACCGAAUUCUAACUGGAACCAAAAUUUGAACCUAUUCGGGUUCAAUUCUCAAAAUCCGAAUUGAAACCUGUAAGAACCGGAUCAAAAUCCAAAACGCCCACUCCCGGCUCUAGGCUCAAGCAAUUAGGCUACACCGUAAUAAAGAUAUGAUCCUGAUAGAUUUAUGAGUAAAUAUCAGUAAACUCAAAAGUAAUACUUCAGAAAAACAGCAACUAAUGAUACCUCGUACUAUUGUUUGAAUUCAAAGCAAGAUGGCAAAUAAUUUGGAAGAUAUAUACAAGAUUACACUCCCUGACAUAAAUUUUGGCCCAAGAUUUUCAUUCCUUCUCUGCACAACACAAAAAAUCAAAAUCCAGAGAUUCUCUCCAAAUUAAUUUCAUAAAUAGGAUUUAAAGUUCAAUAUUCUGUCAUUGGACCACAGUCCCAUGGGCCUAACACUAUAGAUUUGGGUUACUUUCAGUAGUUGCCUCUAGAUCUGGGAUAAGUAGAGUUUCAACAACCUGAUACAGCAAGAAAAAGAACUACUGCUUCAUUAGCCAAGCAAUUUGAGAAAUUAAUUUGACAAUCUUAUUAAGUGAAAACUAGCAUCCAACUAAUAGGCAUAUUCAUACAAAAACCUCCACAAAGCAUCCAUCAGAACUGCCAAGAAACACCAAACAAAAACGACUAGUAAAAAGCCUCAAACUAUGAUCACAAUGAGCCCCUAUAGCAAACCAACCAUCCGAAAACAUAACAAUCAGUCAUCAUAAAAAUCAAUAACUCAUCAUGAACUCGUAAUAAAACCAUCUUGCUUGAACAAGUUGGCAAAUGAGCUUAUAUAAAUUAUAAAAUUGGUCUGAAUUGGUUUGGUUCCAGUUACAACCCAAGCAUUAACUUUCCUCCAUGUAGAUUGCUAUAAAUAGCAUAAACAUUUGAAACAGAACACAAUGGAAUUGAUUAUAAAAUGACACAAACAUGUAGUACGAUAUUUUAACAUUAUGCAUUACAUCUCGUCCUGCUAUAAAUAUCAUAAACACUUAAAACAGAACACAAUGGAAUUGAUUAUAAAAUGACACAAACAUGUAGUACGAUAUUUUAACAUUAUGCAUUACAUCUUGUCAGCUAAAACCAUUAUCUUUCUCACAGGAUACCGAACAAAGCCCCAGAUUUGAUACCUCACAACAUAUCUUCACCGCUACCAAUGCAAUAUGCUCUUAAGAAAGCUUACAAAUCAUCAAUAAAGGCACCAUGCAUUCCCCCAACUUGUCCGGUAGCAGAAGAGAGCAAUGAACUGCAAGGAAAUAUGACCAGAAAUAGAAAAAGAUAUGGAACACCACCCAAUCUUAAGAGACCCAAGAUUUGGGAUGUCAAAAUCCGGUCCGGGUCUGACCUUCCCGGUUCCGGACCCACACAAUAAUUUAUUAUACCGGACCCAGGUAUAAACAUGAAUUUUUAACUCUAGGUCCGGUCCGAGUUCAACUCGAAAAAAUCUGGAUUCCUAGAUUGCAAGUUUUAAAUUCGGAUUUUUUUUUUGAAAAAUUAAUAUGAAUUAUAAGCUUCAGCAAGUUGCAUCCUAGUAAAACAAAUAAAAUGGAAAGACCGGACAAGUCCAUUAAAUCAACUAUCAUACCAGACUUCAAGUAGCUAAACGCCCUUCUUAAAAUAGUAAGGAAAACCAGUCGCAAGUACUGACUAAUAACAAUUUAAACUUCCCAUUCUUGAAUGACCCACAAUGCCUCAAUAACCUCAGUACCAUCUGCCACUACCCCUGAGAAAAAACUGGAGCAAUCCUACAUUCAUACUGUGGUUCAAGUUCAACAAGCCCAAAAAUGUUAGACAUGCUGAGAGCAGCCAGCAUAUCCAAGGUUUCCUUGUCAAUCCUAAUUUCAUUAGUCUAAAUAGCUGAUUCAUCGGGUACAAAGUCCACGUGGCAUUCACAACCCAUCUCAGAUUAAGCUGCUGUCCUGAAGAAGAGAAAGACGGUGAAGCAGAGGAGCUUGAGAUGUCUAGAGGUUGCUGCAGCUAGUGUGAUUAGAGGAGGCAGCUGCCUUGAUGAUGGGAGAUGAGGAAGAUUAGAAGAUGUGGCUGGGGUGAUUUGUGAGCCUGUGAGGCUUAGAUUUUUAGGAUUGCCUUUGUUUUUUCUAACUUUUUGCUUUUAUAUUUAUAAUUAUAAUUAAAAAUUAUUUAUUUAAAAAAAUAAAAAAUGCUGUAAUCCAGGUCCGGUUUCCGGAAGUCCGGGUUUAGAUGAACCCGGAUACGUCCAGUUGAGAAAAAUGUUUCUGGAUCCUGAAUAUUUUAUACAUCCGGAUCAACUGGCUUUGGAUAGGUCUGGGUUUGUUUCCAUCCCUAUCCAAGAUAACAGACUCAAGUAUAUUGAACUACAAUAUUAUUAAAGUGCCAAAAACAUAUCAAUAUUAAUUAAAAACAGAACUUAAUAUUAUUAAAGUGCCAAAAACAUAUCAAUAUUAAUUAAAAACAGAACUUAAAAAUUGAAGAAUAACUUGAGAGACAGAACAAAGCUUAAAGAUUGAUGAGGGCAGAGAUCUUGAAUCAGUGAUGGACAGAGAGCUUCAAUUAGGCUUUUCAAGAAAGGGGAUGAGAAUUAAGAGAGUGCAAGGGAGGAGAUCUGAACAAGAGAGAGAAAAACCUGUGUUUAUAGAUUUUCUUCCAACAAACUUGGAUUUUCCAAAUAUAAUUGCACAGACAAUGAGUCACUACUCAUGGACUUGAUAGGGGUUAUUAAUGGAGGUUGCUGCCAUUGUUUAGUAUCUGUAGGAAUCCAUAAUUCAGCAUCCUUGCUUGUAUUAACCUGAGGAAGUGAACAGAAAUAAGCUGUAAUCUCCCACCUGCAACCUGUUAAACAGUAAAAAGUUACUAACCAGUUCCAUUCUCUAGCAAGAUAGAAUAUGUACACACAUGUAUGCCCACCUGCCUGCACAAUACUGAACGAGGAUAAGAAAAUGUGAUAUGAGAAAGAAAGGUAGUAAACACCAAAAAUUGGAUCAGAAUAGUAACCGUGGAAGAAUUUGAUUAAGCCAAACAAACAAUUUUGGGGCCAAAUUCACACCGGUUGAAAUAAAUAAACAAAACAUCAAGCAUAUCAUCGUUUAUAACAAUUACCUUGUGGAAGAACCUUAGAGAGGGACUUUGAGACUGAAAGUUUGAUCAAGAAUGAUCUAAGUGAGAACUCCAGAUGACCUUCUUCCACCAUUGAGCCAUAAGACUGGUUAACCAUAAUUUUGAAAACAUAUCUCUCCAAAGGGACAUUGUUGGCAUUGGAGAAAAUAACUGCGACUCUUUCCACCAGCCCCUAUUUUGUAGAGAUAUGAAAAUCUCAUUAAAUUUUACAGCACACAAUUUUGUAUCACUACACGAUAAGAAAGCGUUUGCAUAUCAAAGAUAAGAACAAGUAUGCCUCUUAAGUACAGUUAAAUUUAUCUUCCGACAGUAAACCUUAAAAUAAUUGAUGUUCUAAAAUAAAUAUGAAGACCUUUACAGAGGCUUGAUAGAGGUAUAAAUGAUUUGAACAGAUUCUAUUGAUGACCAUAGCAAAUGGGCUCCACUAUAAAUAUUUCAUUACACAUUUGUAGAGUCUUAUGAUAAGUUCUAUCUUCUACCCAGAUGUUCUAAGAGAAAAUCUUGUUAUUAACAUCUUGACUUACCAUUUAAAGCUUGUUUAGUUUGUGAUUCUUAAGUGGGAGUUGAUGGAAUGUACAGAAGACGCCUGAAAUAUCAUUCACUUUCACAUGUUCCACCUAAUCCCUCUAUUUUCCACAUGCAUCACAAUAAGAUACAAAUUGGCCACAAUCUGCAAAAAUAGAAGAGAAGCUGAUUGGCAUUGUCAUUUGCUAGGGCCAGCAUGUUAAAUAUUAAUAGCACAAGUCAAAAAGUUUCCGGAACCCAUAUAUCGACUAUGAAGAAGGUAACCAGCAACGGAGUAAUGAUCUAGUGAGCAAUAGUGCCCUUAUAAUGAUGAGCGACACUGGCACGUGGCGCUGUCUGAUUAAUUUACAACGUCAAUACUAUUCACAUGUAGUCACAGACUUGUGCCACGUGUCCAGUUAGUUGCUCAGCAUAUGGUGGGUAAUGGUGCUUUCAUCAACAACAAUACAACUUAAAAGAUAAAAAGAGGCAAACCUUUUGAAUGAAAAGGAGGAGGCUACUAACAGAAGAAUGAAUGUAGUCUCUGAGCUGGGGGUGACGAGCCCUCUGAACAACCAAAUUCAUAUAUCUCCUCCUCUCAAAAGCACCUAAUAAUUUUUGCAUUACACAUUUACACCCAAAAAAUAACUUAAACUUCUAAAUUCUGUUUUGGCAUUAAAAAUAAAUUCAAAUUAUGAUAGGCAGGUAAAUAAGAGAAAUUAGUAAUACUAAAAGUACCAGAAGGGUAAAGUCCUUUGAGGAAAACAACUGAAGUGAUUGCAACUUCCAAGAAUUCCGCCAGAAUUCGAGCUGUCUCAACUGUUCAAAAUUUAAAUCACUUAUUUAUUAAAUUCGAUUUUUUUAAUUAAAAAAAAAAAGAGAGAGAAACUAAACCUUGAGGAGACUGAGCGUCGCUACGAUCCAUUAUCGUUUUCACUCGUUAGUUGUUUCUGCCUCUUUGAUUGAUAGUCAAUUUGGCUCUCAUACUUUCACUUUGCUCCUAAUUCAGAAACGAGGGUUUUGGGAUGAUGGUUUCAGAGGAGCCCAUAAACUGUUACACUGUGGCUCUAGCAGCAGGGAUGGCAGGAUAACCCGGACGGGCCCGGAUUCGCAUGAACCCGGAUGAUCGGAUGUAUAUUUUAUCCGAAAUCCGGAUUUAUUUUUUUUAAAGCUGGACUGAUCCGGAUCCAGUUUUGGGUUCACCUGAAUCCGGAUUUCUGGAACCCGGACCCGGAUUAUUUUAUUUUAAAUAUUAUUUAAUUAAUUUUUUAAAUUGUUAUUUAUAAGUAUAAAAGCAAAAAAAAUGAGAAAACAAACCCUACAUUUCCUUUAGUUCACCUUAUGUUCAUUCUCCAAAAUUCAGCAAAUGAAUUCAAAAUCAUCAUCGCCCCGAUUCAUCAUCAUCCAUCAAUCAUCAACAAUACAACAUCGCCGCCCGGUUCAUCAUCAUCCAUCAAUCAUCAGCAUCACAACAUCGCCACGGUGGCCUCACUUCCCUAAAAGUUUCAAUUUCUACCUUAUGUGUUAAAAUUAGAUUUCUCCUGCGAUUUGAGCUCAAGGAAUCAUGUGGCUUUCUAUGGAAUCAUGUGCUUUCUAUGGAAUUAUGUGGCUUCUUUUUGGUUAAUUUAAUUUUCUCAUCUUCCUCAUCCUCCACUAUCUUCGUAAGAUCCCAUGAGGAUCUAUUUGUUUCUGCAACUACCAAAGAGCCAAAAGUGGCCUGCUUGAUUUUGUUUUUUAAUUUCAGGCCUUCAAUACAUAUAUUUGGGUUUAAAACCCGUAAUCCGAAAACCCAGAUUUUUUGGGUUCAACCCAGACCGAACCCGUAGCUAAAAAAUCUAGGUUUAUAUGCAGGUUCGGUAGUAUUGUCAUCCAGGACCGAAAUGGGAAAGACCAAACCCGGACCCAGAUCUGGAUUUUGCCAUCCCUACUCUAGCUCCCUCCAAAUUUGCGCAAAUUUACUUCAGUGGCACCUCUAAAUUACAUUGCUAUCCUUUGAAUUUGUUUUAAAUUACACCAUCGGGGCAGGUGUGGAUUCAGAGGAAUCACAUGUUUAAUCUUGCACCCAGAUGUGCAAGGGGUUUUAAAAUUGGGUAUUAACUAAAUAUUCAAUUGUGAUAGAAAAAUUAAAUAUUUAAUUAAAAUAAAGUACAUAAAGAAAAAUUUAGAAAAAAAAUAGAACUGUUGUGGAUUAUAUGUGGAUUUCCACAUUUUCAAGUGUGUGUGUAAUAAUGAUGUCUUCCAUCACUUCAUGUAAUGGCAAAUGACACAUCCUCAUUAUAUUUACACUAUAUAAAUGAAUAAGAGAUAAAAGUCAUAUAUGCUUUGACGAUUAUUCCUUUCUUAUUAUCUUCUCUCUCUCUCUCAUGUUUUUCUUUGUAUUCACAUGCUAAUUCUGUCAAUUUCUCCUUUUAUUGCAUCACUUCUAAGCUAAAAAUCAUCUGCCUAUAUUCAUAUUAAUGAGGUUUAUAAUCUAUAAAACUAUUAACAAAGUUCCUAAUUUAUAAUACGUUAUCAGCACGAAUUUCGCUCUGAUACAUAAAGUAUUCUAUCUAUUUACUCUUUUAUUUUCUACAUACUCCUAAGUAAAGCUUAUUAUUUACACUCUUUUCAAUAUUUAUUGUACUAAUCUUUAUUUAUUUGUUUGUGAUAAUGUCUUACUUGACAAAAUUGGAGUUUAACGCCUUGAAUAUAUCUAGGGAGAAUUAUUUAUCCUAGAUCCUAGAUAAGGAAAUUCAUCUUGAUGUUGUGGGCCUUAGUAACAUGAUAAAAAAUAAUAAUGACUCAUCCACUCAGGAUCGAGCCAAGGCUAUGAUUUUUCUACGACAUCAUCUCCACUAAGCACUUAAAAUGGAAUAUCUCACUAUAAAGGAUCCAUAUGUCCUGUGGAAUAAUUUGUAUGAAAGAUAUUGUCAUUUAAAGUCAAUCAUUCUUCCCAAUGCUUGUAGUGAAUGGAAUGUCCUCAGGCUACAAGACUUUAAGUCAGUACAUGAAUAGAAUUCUGCAUUGUACAAAAUUACUUCAUAGUUAAAAUUGUGUGGAGAAAAUAUUACUGAUGAGGAUAUGUUGGAAAAAACAUUUACAACAUUUCAUGCUUCCAACAUGGUUCUACAACAACAAUAUAGAGUUCGUUAGUAUACAAAAUAUUUUAACUUUAUUGCAUGCCUUCUUGUGGCAGAGAAGAAUAAUGAAUUAUUAAUGAAAAAUCAUCAAGCCCAUCAUACUGGUACAAAAUCAGUUUUUGAAGCAAAUACUGUCUCACAUGAUUGUGAAGACAAUUAUGAAAUGGGCGUGGCCGUAGGCAUAACCGUGGCCGUAGACAUAGUCGUGGCUGUGAUCAUGACUAUUAUCGAGGUCAAUGAUAUAAUAAAAAUCAUUAUUAUCGACCUUGUGGUGGUUAUAAGAACCAUAAAAAUAAGAAAAAUGAGGGGGGAACAUCUGCCCAACAUGAUAUUUAAGAAAGCACUCGUGAUAGAUGUGGAAUGUCUGGCCAUUUUUAAGACAAUGUCGUACUCCCAGACAUCGUGUGGAUAUGUUUCAGACAUCCUUAAAGUCAAAAGGAAAGAAUGUUGAAACAAACUAUAUUGAUGACUCGGAUCCAGUGGAUGUUACACAUCUUGAUGUUUCUAACUUCUUUGAAAAUAAAGAUUGAAAAAUUGAUCACUUGAUCUGUGAUGGAAAUGUUUAUCACAUUUAAAAAUUCUACUUGUGUUUUAUGUUUGUUUAUGUAAUUUUUAUUUUUCAUGUUAUCUAAUAUGUAUUUCCCUUUUUACCUUUGUUUAAGGAUAUAAAUUUCAAUAAAAUGUUUAAUGGAGAAAUAUGUUCGGCUGAUAAUGCAACUACACAUACGAUUUUUCAAACAAGAGGUAUUUUUUAAAUUUAAAUAUGAUUAAAGCCAAUGUGAAUACAAUAUAAAGUCCAGUAGAUCUUAUUAAAGGUAUUGGAAGAGCAAUGAUCAUAUUAGCAAAAGGUACGAAAUUGGAUAUUCAUAAUGCUCUGUAUUCACCUAAAUAAAAAAAAAUUUACUUGGUUUUAAAGACACUCGUCGUAAUAAUUUUUAAAUAGAAAUAAUGAAUGAGAAUAAUGUAAAAUAUUUAUACAUUACUUCUAACAUGUCUAGAAAGAAAGAGAUAUUAGAAAAACUUCCAGCUUUCUCAUAUAACUUAUAUUAUACGAUGAUAAAAUUAAUAGAAAGUUACGCAAUCAUAAAAGAUAAGUUAUAUCAUCCAAAAUCUUUUAUACUUUGGCAUAACCGCAUCAGUCACCUUGGAUCAACAAUGAUACGUAUAAUUAUUGAAAAUUCUCAUGGACAUCCAUUCAAAGAUUUGAAAAUUUUAUUGUCAAGUGAGAAUAGUUGCACUGCUUGUUCACAAAGAAAAUUGGUAGUUAGACCAUCACCUAGUAAAAUUAAUUUUGAAUCUCCAUCAUUUUUACAAAGGAUUCAAGAAGAUAUCUGUGGACUUAUUCACCCACAAAGUGGUCCAUUUCGUUAUUUUAUUAUUUUAAUUGAUGCAUCUACACGGUGGUCACAUGUUUGUUUAUUAUCUACACGUAAUAUUGCAUUUGCAAGAUUGCUUGCACAGAUAAUUAGGUUACGUGCACAAUUUUUAGAUUAUCUAAUCAAGACCAUACGUCUAGAUAAUGCUGGUGAGUUUACUUUUAAAAUAUUUAAUAAUUAUUGCAUGACAAUUGGGAUUGAUAUAGAACACCUAAUACCAUAUGUACAUACUCAGAAUGAAUUAUCAGAAUCUCUCAUUAAAUGUUUACAGGUAAUUGCCAGAACUUUAUUAUUACAAAGUUAAUUACCUAUUUCGACAUGAGGGCAUGCGAUUUUGCAUGCUGCGGCAUUGAUCCGCUUAAGGCCUACUACAUAUCAUAAAUAUUUCCCAUUGUAAUUGGUAUUGAGAAAUUAACCAGAUAUAUCUCAUUUACGCACAUUUAGCUGCGCAGUACAAGUGCCGAUUGCACCCUCACAAUGCACCAAAAUGGUACCUCAACAUCGAUUGGAAAUAUAUGUGGGAUUUGGCUCACCAUUUAUUAUCAUAUAUCUUGAACCCAUUGACAGGUGAUGUAUUUACCACAAGAUUUACGAAUUUUCAUUUUGAUGAGACAAAAUUUCCUCCAUUGAGAGAAAGAAAAAAUAUCUAUGAGAUUAGGCAUGAUCCUCAGUGGAAGGUGACUCAUCUGUCUCAUUUAGAUCCAUGCAUAUCUCAGAGUGAAAAUGAAGUGCGUAGAAUGGUUCAUUUGCAGCAAAUUACAGAACAAUUAUCAGAUUCAUUUACAGAUACGAAAAAAGUAACCAAAUCAUAUAUACCAACUGCUAAUAUACUCGGCCGAGUCAUUGUACCUAAAGAACAAUUAAUGAAAAGUGCAGCUGAUGAAUUGUCUAUGGCACGCCAGAAGCGUAGUAGACCAAUUAGUUCAAAAGAUAGUAUUCUAAGAAAAAGAAAAAUGAUUAAAUAGGGUUUUGCUGCAAAUGAUGACAAAAAUAUAAAAGAACAAAUUGUUUCAGAAGAGCAAAUAGUCUAUGAAAAGACCAAAAACCUUGACAAUAUACAAACUCUUCAUGAGUAACAAAGCUUUAAAAAGGCACUUGAAUCCAAAAAUAGUGAGAUUUCUCCUUAGGGUAAUAUUUUGAAAAGACGAUUGAUCAUUAAUAAGACCAAAUACCUUGAAGGAUCUCUUGAAGAGGCAUAUGCCCAAGAUAUGGCUCAAGCCCUUGAACUGGCUAGAGAUAAAGAAAUUAUCAUUAAUGAUGUGUUUACGUUUAUAGUAGUUACUGACAUUGUAAAUGAUCAUAGUCCGCAAACCAUUGAGGCAUGAUUGGCUUAAAUGGAAAGAAGCAAUCGAGGCAUAAUUGACUUCUUUAGCCAAGCAUAAAGUAUUCGGACCUAUAGUCCAAACGCCUAACGAUGUCAAACAUGUUGGGUACAAAUGGGUAUUUAUACAGAAACGUAAUGAAAAUGAUGAAGUCAUAAGAUAUAAAACACGACUUGUUGCACAACAAAGACCCAAUAUUAAUUAUAAUGAGACAUACUCUUCGGUAAUGUGUGCAAUUACGUUUCAAUUUUAAUUGGUUUAGCUAUAUUAGAAAAUCUUGAUAUGCGUCUCAUGGAUGUGGUGGUAGCUUAUUCAUAUGGGCCACUUGACACCAAUAUAUAUAUAUAUGAAAAUCUCUGAAGAAUUUAAAAUAUCAUAAUCUUGUCAAUCCUCACAUCGUAGCUUGUAUUCAAUAAAGCUACAAGAAUCUUUAUAUGGAUUAAAAAAAUCUGGACGCGUGUGGUAUAAUCGCUUCAGUAAAUAUUGGAUAAAGAAAUGGGAUAUGUUAAUGAUCCCAUUUGUCCGUACGUUUUUAUCAAGCAAUCAGAAUUUGGAAUUGCUAUUGUUGCAGUUUAUGUUAAUGAUUUGAAUUUAAUAGGAACUCCUAAAGAGCUCCAAAAGACUGUUGAAUGUUUGAAAAAUGAAUUUGAAAUGAACAAUUUAGGAAAAAUUAGGGCCUGUUCGACACCAUCUCCAAACACUUGUUUUCAUUUUCGUUUUAAGAAUACAAAUGUAAUCCAUGUUCGACACAAUAAAUUCAGAAAAUAAAUUAUAAAGCAAAUAAUUCAGAUUUUCCUUUAUAGUUAUAAAAAUAAGAACAUGUUUAACACGUUUUUAGUGAAUCCGAAAUCAAAUUCCAAAAUAAAUUACAAAAUAAAACAUUUGAUAUUCUUCUUGUUCUAACCAUAAAGCACAACUCUCUUUUUAUUCUAUAUCUACUCUCUCCAUGGAUACUUUUAUUCUUCAACCACAAUUCACCGUCACAGCUCUCUCUCUCUCCGUCACAGUUCUUCAAGUAAAAUUGAUUGCUGCUGCUGUUACAUCUCAGCUCUGUCUCGAUUGGUGGCGGUUGUGCUGUUACGUCUCUGCUCUACUUCAGCUAGUGGUGGAUUGACUGCUGCUAUUGUGUUGAGAAUGGCUGAUGCUGCUUCGGUUAGUGGUGGAUCGACUGCUAUUGCUUCGGCUAGUGGUGGCUGUUGCGUCUAUUUGGGUAAAUUUUGAGAAUCGACGCUGGAUCACGGGUAUUAUUCUUUGUUUGGGUCCAAUUUUUUUUAAUUGUGUUUUUCAUAUUCUUUGUUUGGGUUGAUAAACUUUCAUUUGGUUGGGUUCAGUGCAUUUGGUUUGUGAAUGGAAAUUGAGUUCUUUUUUUGUUUUGUUUAUAUUUAAUUGUAAAUUUGGAAUGUGUUGAUGGAAUUUAUUGUGAAUUUAAAGAGCUGCUAAAAUGUUGAUUUGGAAAUUUAGAAUUUAGUUCCAUGUCAAGUUUGGAAUUCUUUUUAAGGUAACAAUAUAUAAUUAGUUGUCUAGUUCUUGGAUCCUAUUUCGUUUAUUCAUCUCUAUCAGAGAAUAAAACAAAGGAAAAUUAUCAUUUGUAUACACUUAGUUUACUCCAUUAUAAAAAAUACUAUAACACUUUGAGGGUGUAUCAAUCAUCCAUCUUAAGUUGACAAAAUGUAUCAGCUGACCAUCAAACCGUUAGUUGCCGUUUAAGUAUGAUGACGUCAGAAGAGUAAUUUGGUCUUUUUAUAUGAUACAAGUGAUAAUUUAAGGGUAUACAAGUGAUAAAAAGAGAAUUUAAGGACAUACAAGUGAUAACUGUCAAGGGUAAAAUUGUCAAUUCACUAUAAUUCCGUUAACUUUCAAACGGCAGCUAACGGUUUGGGGGUCGACUGAUAUAUUUUGUCAACUAAGGGUGGACGAUUGAUACACCCUCAAAGUGUUGUAGUAUUUUUGAUAACAGAGCAAAUAUAAGGUAUAUGAAUGAUAAUUUCCUUAAAACAAAUUCUGUAAUGAGUGAAGGAUAAAAAGCAUUUUAAUUACUUCGGUUUUUCACCAGGACAUAAUUGGAGAAACCAAAAAAUGGUUUUCUAUAUUGAAGGCAUAGUAGUGUGUGGUAAUAAUAGAGAAGUCUGAGUCCUGGAAAAUAAAUGAAUUCAUGUUUGACAUAUCUACAGUUAUACAAUUACUUAUAUGUUCUCAUUGGACACAAGGAGAAUUUUCUUUUUAAUUUAAUAUGUUUGAUUUUUUUUUAGGUUAAAGACUCUAGGUAGUUGUUGUGCAAAUUUUAAUGUACUCGCAAGCGCACGAAUCUAUUGUAGUAUAGACUAAUGGUGACGAGUGUCGAUCCCACGAGGAGGUGGAUUUUAAUUAUAUAUAGAAUUAAUUUUGUAAAUGGGUAGUUGGAUUUAUGGUGGAAAUGAUUUGGAAUAUGCUAAUACUUAAAUUAAAAUGGCGAGAAUAAAUUCUAAAAUUGGAAUUGCAAUGGAGAGAAUAAAUUGAAGAGAAAAUCUAUUAAAUUGACGUACUUGGGUAUCUGGAUCCGUAUCAACAUGCAUCAUGGGCUAAAUAAUCCGUAUUAAUGCCAAUUAAAUCAUGAGGGGGGAAUCCACACCUCAUGAACCACGCUCUAAUCAAUAUGGUGCUAAGGGCUUAUCGUGCCAAAUAAUAAUAACCUUAUACUAGAGAGCCGGUGUAACCAAGGCGGUAUCUAGACAAGACUAUUAUUAUUUGUCGACGAGAAGUCAAAACAUCCACAAAAAUUAGAGGGGAAGAGAAAAUAAAUUUACCAAAUUAAGCCCAUGACACAUGUUGAGACUUCACCUUCAACCCAAGCUUGAAAGAAAAUUAGCCACUCAUAGUUGAACUAGGGGCAAAAUAGGAAUUUAUUAAAAUACGAAGAAAAUACAAGAUGGAGAGGGAAUUACAGAAAAUGGAUCCCAAAAAUGGAUUCAGAGAUAUCAAAUUAGGGGGGGGAGGCCCCCUUUUUAUAGAUACAUGGAGUAAAUCAUGGCCAUCGGAUUAAAAACAGUUUGGACGCUCAGGAUUGCGCCACGUCAUCAGUCAAUAGUCCACGGUUUGACCACGCGGAUGAACAGUAACACGGUUUGACCCGGAUGAACAGUAACGCGGUUUGGUUGAAAAUAAUCCUGUGUGAUGCAUGCACCGUACGCGAGAUUUUUCGUCCACUGAUAUGCUGCCACGUCAUCAUCAACAGUACAUAAGAAUUUUAGUCCAACAGGAUCGUGACACCUCAUCAGUCAAUGCCACAUCAUCGGUCAAUGCCACGUCAUCAUCCGUCUAUGUGAACAGUGUCGUGAACAGUAACGUAUACAGUACCGUACACGUGAAUAGUACCGUACAUGUGAAUAGUGCCAUUUUUCCUUUUAUGCUCCUCCUAAGGUUUUCGACCGUCCUGAGUUCAAAAGUGAUGUCCGUUUUGCCGUCUGAUCUCUCAUUUAUUGUGAAAUGACUAUAAUGCCCCUAAAAUACAUAAAAUACUUAAUUAAAAUAAAACACAUGUAAUUAAAUCACAAGAAGGUUAAAUAUAUAAAAGUAAGGGUUGUUAGUAAGACUUAAAAUGUAAAAUGACGGUUUUCUCCUUUAUAAAUAUGCAUUUUCUAACACUCAACACACCCCCCAACCAGCUUAUUGCUAGUCCCUAGCAAAUAAAGCGAAAACAAAAUUCAAAUUCAAAAUAAUUUUUUUUUGUUUUAAUAGAAACACUCGUAUUUAUUCCAUCAGAUUAAUGAUAGCAAUCAAAUAAAAGUAUAAGCAUUAUCUCCAGUCUAAAGCAACAUCACACCCACAUCAACCAUCCACAUGAAUUAGCCCAGUAGACUUUGUUUUAGCUACUCUCAAGAAUGACAUGUCAAACCCCAAAAUCUCACUGGAAGUAGUGACACUCUCACAAAUAAAUUAAUCCCAAUAAAAAUAGUCACUCCAAUGAAUGGUAAUUGAGAGAGAAAAUAAUAAAGAAGUGAUAUCACAUGCUCUCACCAAGAUGAAAUAAAUAUGCCCUCAGCUUAGAAAUAAUACGAUCUCAAGUCAAAUAAAAUGUUAGUCAACCCACUUUAUUUAUCUUUUUUUUUUAAUUAUGCAUCACUACAUCUUUUUAGCCCAUAUAACUAGCUUCUACUUCAAACUAUAGUUCCCUAAAAUUAAGAAGGACUUUUAUUAGGACGAAACGUAGGCUAGGGACAUGGCUAACAAAGAAGGAAAAUAAAGAAAACAAAGUGUAUAUUUGAGAAAAAUGCAGAGAAUUUUUUUUUUUUUUGGAAGUUGCAAGGUGGAUUUCACCUAUUUUUAUUCUUUUGAAACAACAACUUUUGUUUUUGUUUUUUUUUUUUUUGCUUUUAUUUGGCAUAACUUCACUGAACAAAAUAAUUAUUUACAUUUUCUCAAACAUAAAUAGGUGAUGGAACUUAUAAGAUAUCGGGUAAUACUCCAAAUCGGAGUGGGUCAAGAUGAUAAGUUGACAAAGAAAAGGUUUUUUUUUUUUUUUUUUUUUUUAAAGGCUCAAAAGGGUUAACUAUGGAUAUUAAAUAAAAGGGAUGGCUUGAAAGGCUCAAACGGAUCAAAGAUGGCCUCUCCAUCGUCUUUUAGGGCUCUAAAUAAUUUUCCAUAUCUACUAGUUAGAUGGGCCUCCAAAUGUAGCAACACACUCUUUUUUUUCUUUUUUUUUCUUUUUUUUUACCAUUUUUUUUAAAGGGUUAACUCAAAAGAAAUGUAGAGAUCGUGUAUAAAAUAAUAAACUGCUAAGCUGUAUAGAGAAUGGGCAAAAGGGUUACUCUCCAAGAAAAUAAUAGGCUCAACAACUCACUUGGCACUUAUUUAUGACAUGUUCAUUCCUUCAAGCAACUCAUAUUUGUCUCCGACAUCAACAUGUAAAGUAGCAAACAUAGCGUAACAUCACUUAAGACCAAAGAUAAUACAAAUAAUAAAAUUUGAAAUUAAUCAUGUCAUCCAAUGUUAAAACAAAUCACACAUUUUUUUUUUUUUUAAACAUCAUUCUACCCCCCAACCUAUUCUAAACAUGAAAGGAAAAUAUGCAUGCAGAAAUGUGAAAAUGAUGUAUAAAAACUAAUUAGAAAAGUUACACGUAAAAUGAUAGAAAACGAAAAUGAUUUUUUUUUUUUUAAAAGAAGAUGCGUUUCUAGAGGAACUACACUCCAUAUUCAGCCAUCUUCGACUCAAAAGUUGGAAAAUGUAUAUUUAUAGAGGAGAAAUUAAAGAAGAAAAAUAAACAUAAACACAUAAUAAAGAAAAAGAAAAUGUCUGAAUUUUUUUUUUUGAAUUUUUUUUUUCAAACAAUGAAGAUGCGUUUCUAGAGUAACUACACUCCAUAUUCAGCCAUCUUCAACACAAAAAGUUAGCAACAGUUAGUUUCUACAACAAAAAAUUAGUAAAAACUUAACUAAAAUUUCACAAUUGUCGACUAUUCCCUCCCCCCAACCAGAACGAAACAUUGUCCUCAAUGUUUGAAAUGAAAGAAGUAGAGUUUAGAAGAUAUCACCUGGGUGGUGCAACACAGAAGAAAAUAUUUACAGGCGGAGAGUUAAAUCUAAUUUGUACUUCUUACUGCGGCUACUGUUACCAUCAUUAUUUGGACGCUCCAACACAAAGGUCCAGGGGUCUGGCUCCGGUCGAUAAGCUUGUAAUAUAUCAAGUAGCUCAUUAGCAGUGUGAGCACAAAUAAAGAGUUUUUUCACAUUAGCGGGAAUGAAAUAGUUUUUUAUUGCAUGGUUAAGAAAUGCGAUAAAGCCAUCAUAAAAGUUAUUGACAUUUAACAAACCGAUGGGUUUUUGGUGGAUGUGCAGAUGGGCCCAAGAUGCUAGCGUGAUAAGUGCCUCUAGUGUUGCAAG